rnacentral:lncRNA from 1 species
AGUAAUCUUGGUUGGAGGUUUUUUCCUUUCAUCAUGUUAAGUAUAUUGUGCCACUCCCUUCUUGCCUUCAGAGUUCCAGCUGAAAAAUCUGCUAAUAACCUUAUUGGGAUUCCCUUUUAUGUUAUUUGUUUCUUUUCCCUAGCUUCUUUCAAUAUUUUCUCUUUGUCUUUAAUUUUGGUCAGUUUGAUUAAUAUGUGUCUCAGGGUGUUCCUCCUUGGCUUUGUUUUAUAUGGUACUCAUUGUGCUUCCUUGAUUUGAGUGAUUUGUCCCUUUCCCAUGUUAGAGAAGUUUUUGGCUAUUAUCUCUUGGAAUAUUUUUCCUAUCCCCUUCUCUCUCUCUCUCCUCCUUGUGGCACCCCUAUAAUACAGAUGUUGGUGCAUUUAACGUUGUCCCAGAGUUCUCUUAGACUUUCUUCAUUUAUUUUCAAUCUUUUUUCUCUUUUCUGUUCCAUAUUCGUAAUUUCCACUAAUCUGUUCUCCACCUUGCUUAUUCGUUCUUCUGCCUCCUGUAUUCUGCUGUGGGCUGCUUCUACUGAAAUUUUUAUUUCAGUUAUUGUGUUUUGCAUCUCUGCUUGCUCAAGUUUUAAAUCUAGUAUUUCUUUGCUCAGUGUUGCCUGUAAAUUAUCAAUUUUUUUCCCCAGUCUAUUUCCAGUGUCUUGCAUCAUCUUCAGCAUUAUCAAUCUAAAGUCUUUUUCCUGGUGGCUGAUAAUCUCCAGAUCACUUAGCUGUUUUCCUGGGGUUUUUUUCUUUCUCCCUUUUCUGAGUUAUAGUCCUCUGCCUUUUCAUUUUUAUAGAUUUUUGGUGUGGUGACCUUUUUACAGACAAUAGAGUUGCUGCCUCUCUUCUACUGUCUACCCUCCUUGUGGCUGAAGUUGGUACAGGAGCUUGCUGUAAGCUUCCUGAUGGGAGGGACUGGUGCCUGCCCACUGGUAGUUGGGGCCUAUUCCUAUCCUUCUGGUGGGUGGGGCUUUGUUCUGGGUGAGAUUAGAAGUGGCUGUGUGCCUGGCUGGGUGUUUAGGUAGCCUGUUUACUGAUAGAUGGGUCUGUGAUCCCACCUGGAUUAUUGUUUGGCCUGGGGCUUCUCAGUGCUGAUAGGUGGGACCAGAUUGUUCUAAAAUGGUCACCUCUAGAGGAACACACACUGAUGAAUACUCCUAAGACCUCUGCCUCCAAAGUCCUUCCCUGACAAUGAGCCACAGUCACCCCCUGUUUUCCCAGGAGAUCCUCCAAGAACUGUAGUCAUAUCUGCCCCAGAUUCCUAUGGAGUCUCUGCUUUGCCCUGGGACCCAUUGCCCAUGAAAACCUGUGUGUGCCUUCUAAGAAUGUGCUCUCUGUUUCCCCCAGUCCCAUGGAACUCCUGCUCACAAGCCCUGCUGAGCUUCAAUGCCAGAUGCCCUGGGGGCUCCCUCUCCCAGUGUCAGAGCCCCAGGCAUGGGGACCUGACGUGAGGCUCAGAACUCUCACUCCUGUAGGUGACUCUCUGUGAUAUAGCUACUUUCCAGUCUGUGGACUUUCUAUCCAGCAGGUAUGGGAUGGUUUAUAUCACCUAAUUGCCCCUCCUACUGUCUUGAUGUGGCCUCUUCUUUGUUAUCUGUAGUGGCAUAUCUUUUUGAAAGUUUCCAGUCCAUUUGGUUGAAGAUUCUUUGGCAUUUGGUUGUCAUUUUGUUGUUUUUAUGAGAGAAGUUGAGCUCCAGUCCUUCCCUUCUACCAUGUUAAUCCCGUCUUCCAUAUCUUUGCUAAGCUUCAAGAUGGAUGAAGAAAACUGUGAACCAAGGGAUAUGAGCAGCCUCUGAAAAGGGACAUGGCAAGGAAGUAGAUCCUUCCUAGAGUCUACAGAAAGUGCAGUCCUAUCAAAACCUUGGCUUUAGCCUGGAGAGUCUCAUGUCAGACCUCUGACCUAUAGAACUGUAACAUAUACAUCUGUGUUGUUUUAAACCACUGAGUAAGUGGCAGUUUCUCACAGCAGCCACAGAAAAUGAAUACACCAACCUGUAGUAAGUCAUGUAAAUUCAGCAGAACUAUUCAUGGAAGGAUUUAUGGCUUCUGCUCUGGAAAUUGAGCUGGUCUGCUUAUGCUGGUUAUUUCUUUUCGGACUAAAGAUUUGGAUUUAAUUCAUCUUCCUUCUCAGAUUCAUAGGUGAAAUCGUCCUUUCUUGGAGAAAAAGGAAAGAUGGGAACACAGAUAACACCUGACACAAUUUCCAAAGAUAGGCAUAAACCAAAUUUUACCACAGCCUUGCUCUCCACAAGUCUAAGGCAGCUGAAGAAGUUGAGGAAUUACUGAAAACAUUUCUCAAUAGUCCCAUAUUUCGUGAUUUAUUUAAAAUUAUGCCCCCACCCCUCCACCCUUGGACUCUCCACACCUUUAUUUCUUUGUCUUUUUCCAUGCCCAUAACAUCAUUGGAUGCAGUAUAUGUCUGGCAUUUAUUUUCUUGACCUUUUUCUCUCCUCCCAUUAAGAUACAUGCUUCAUAAAGACAGGGUUUUUUUUUUUUUUAAUUGGUUUGAUUCACUUAUGCAUUCUCAGCAUUGUCUGGCACUUAGUAGGUACUCAUUUAAUAAUUAUUGAGUGAAAAAAGAAUUGUUAGACUGUGGAGGAGUGUUGAUGAAAUAUAAGCCUUCCCCUCUGAAUUAUGUAAGUUCAAGCCCAGUGUUGGUGAUGGCACUAUUUUUUUCAGUUUUAGGAAAGGUCAAUCAAAUGGUGUUAUGCCUAAACUGUUAUGCCUGAGAGUUCAUAUUGGUUUUUUUCGCCUCUUUUGAUGCUGAAUAGCUUCCUCACCCACCACAGCCUGUCCUUUACCCCCACAUCAUUUUCUGACUAGUCAGAUCAUAUGGAAAGUUGAUGUACUGUGAAGGAUAGUACAUUUAAAUAUACUACCUAAGAGAUUCAAACUAGUUACAGUGUUUUAGCAUAGGUUUUAUACCAUUAUGUAUAAAUUACCUUCUUCUUCCAGAAAGAGGUUGUCAUGUUACCUUAGUUAUACUAUAAGUAGCACCUCUGGGAAUUCUCUGUAUAAAAGCUUCUGUUAGAGUCUGUAGGGUGGCUUUGUAUUCUCAUCUUGAUUUGAACUGUGUCCCCCUAAUUGGGCUAUUCUGCCUAAUGUAAAGGCACAUAUUCUUCCAUAAAAAGGAUUAAAAACCCGGAAACAAAUAAAAACAAGGUCAGUAAUCCCCUGGUUUUGACAGAAUCACUCUAGAUCUUGUCCAUAUUAGCUACUUUGUCAAGAGUCUAAAAUGCUCCAAAAUUUCAUCUUAAACUUUGACUACGCAUCUUACUAUUUCUUAUGUAUUACUUGUAAAUCACAAAUUGCUUUAGAUUCUCUUGUUCUAAAGAUGGUUGCUUAUGUUUCUUUCCUCAGUUGCAUUUGAGUGGAAAGUGUGGACAAGACUCCUGUCUUAACUAUCACCUCACACCUCAUCACCCUUGAAUAAAUAUAUAAUCUGGUAUAGUGCUGAUGACUAAAGCUAUUCUGGUGAUGUGGAAUAUGGAAGGAAAUUUGCCUACAAGAUCCACCAAGUUUGCAACCAAAUAUAUUCAACAACAUUACUCAGUCUUUCUGAAUUAUUAAUGAAGCAAAGCUGGAAGAUUUACCCUUACUAUCUCUAUUCGUACUUAGAUGAGAAUUUACAAGGCAGAUAAGAAUACAUGCUAUUGUUAUACUAGUGCCUGUUUUUCAUUUAUAGCCACCAUAAAGGAUAGAGAGAAUCAUCUCUGUUGCUUAUUAAAAAAUGUGAAUUCAUGGGCCUUUCCCCAUACUAACUAAAUCAAAUUCCACAAGAGUAGAACUUGGAGAAGCUGUACUUUUAAAUAAGCUUCACCUGGGAUUAUUAUGUAUUUUAAAGUUUGGGGCACUGUAUUAGAAUAUAUUGCAAUCCUUCCACUGUAAAUACUUUCAUUGGGUUGGUGACCAGUGAGUAAAUGGAUUGGUGUUAUAUAGAUGGAAAGGACUUUUAGGUGAGGAGCUCAUCUUGGUUGCCUUGGUGGCAACUCAACUGUCCCGGCCAUCGCACAUUAUUUAAUGUCCUUUGUGCUAGUACCUACUCUUCGCCUUCCUCUCCUCUGUUAAUUUAUUAUGAAUAAUAAAUUGAACUGAAAGCUCUAAUGGAUCAUACUUAACACAUGCAAGCUUUCUGUAAAUCUAAAGUGCUAAUCAAAAAUGAAAGGUUUUAUUGAAAUAGGUAGGUGAGACUUACAAUGGCAAGAGAGUCAAGGGUUAGUGGUAAUUCAUCUUGUAGCUGGCUCUGGUGUUAGAGGUUUCUCCUAGGAAUUCAGCUUCUGCCUUUUUUGUUUUUUUAAACUGUUUUAAUUAUGCAAACAGUAAAUAUUCCUUGUGAAAAGAAGUAGAGAAUGUAAUUAAAAUCAAUAAGCAUAUGUAUAUAUAAAAGAGAUCAGUCAUAAUCCCAUGAACUAGAGACAAUUGCUAACAUUUUCCUUUCUAACAAAUGAUAUACAUACCCUUCAAUAAUAUCAUUUAUAGAAUAUUUGUGACUCUUAAACCUAAAUAUAUAUACCUGAAAUUACAAUAAUAGGUGGAUUUUUUUUGACGUAGUAUCUUAUGUAUGACAUACUCUACUUUACUGGUGGCAGUAUAUUGUGGUAUUUAAGAAUACACACACUUAAGCCACAAUUGAAAAGACCAUUGUUCAAACUCUGCCAUGCCACAUGAUCAUUGUAUGCUGUUGGAUAAAUUACCAUUCUUUCCAGGCCUCAGUUUCCUCGUGUGCCAAAUAGGAAUGCACCAUCUUGAGGCUAAAAGAAAAUGAUGUUUACCACACUUGGCAUAAUUUCCGGCAUAUAGAAGACACAAUAAAUAGUAAGGCAUUAUCCAUCCUUACCUGUUGAGUCUUAAGUCAUUAUCUUUCAUCUGUAAUUUCUAAAAUAAAUGAAGACUUGAGAUAGCUCAUCUUCUUAAAUAGGCAAGCCAAGAAAAUCCCCUUGAAAUCUUUAGAACCAAUUUUGAGACACAAUUUCAUAAUAAUUUCUCGGAGGAACUUUUAGACAAAUGACCCAAGUAUGCCUGUGUAACAGUGUUGGCAAUGGCAUCAAAGAAUUGGGUUGGGCUCUUUCUUCACACACUCUAUAAAGAGACCAUAGUGAUCACUGACAGAAAACUGAAGUCGAAAUUUGCUUUUUUUUCCCUUCGAACUGUAAAAAGAGGGU